AACAAGGGUUGUCCAAGGGGAGGCAAGUUUACGAAGCUCACGGGUGCCAGGGCUGGGAUGGGAAGCUAGGUGGCUGGCUGCAGAGCCCACACUCUUACCGCAACGCUAGGCCAUCCUUGCAGCUGGAGAACAUGUUGCCUGAGCCUGCAAGCUGAGCGUUUUAUGCACGCACAUAACCGCUUGCCCGAGGCCGCUCAGCCGGCAAGGGGCAGCGGGCAGAGUUCAGUCCUUGGGUGUCCGGCCCCGAAGCCCACCUCCCUCUCAGCAGGGGCACUGCCUCUGGACACGUGCAGGCAAGUCAGUACCGCCGAGAUCGACGGUAAUGGUGCACGUGAGCGUGAGAGGCAGGGCACUGCAGGGCGACCACAGGAGCCGAGGGGGGAUGCGCUUACGAGAGCGUGGGUGCCCGGUCCAGGACACGCAGCUCUGCCCCUUCAGAGCGCUGUGCGUGCAAAGUCACCUCGGUCAUCUGACUCUUUGCGACCCCGUGGACUGCACCCCGCCAGGCUCCUCUGUCCAUGGGAUUCUCCAGGCAAGAAUACUGGAGAGGGUUGCCAUGCCCUCCUCCAGGGGAUCUUCCCCACCCAGGUACGAAGGCAGCCGGCACAGCCAAGCCCUUGUCUCGGGGCUCCCACCUGCCGAGACCAGCCAGCAGGUCGACCUUCCUGCUCACCCUCCGAUCUCUUCCGGCUCAGUCUGGGUUUGACCUCAGCCUCUCCUGUUGCAGUUUAAAUUGGAGCCUGUGUGCAAGUCCCCCUUCAUGGCCGGGGGCUGGGGGUGCAGGGUAGUUGGCCUUCACAGCCCAGCUCCACGCUAUUUGCCCCCCUGGCGGGGACAUCACAAGCCAGACGGAGGACGUUCCCAGCACCGUGCCCUGGUCCGCGCCCCGCAGACCCUGGCCGGGGCACUCCCCAUUAGAUUAAACGGCAUUUACGGCAGCUGUAAGCACGUUUUGAGUUGAUUACCCUAUAAUUUGUAUGCAGUUGCAGGUCAUUACCAAAAUUACAAUUAAACGCAGCACCCUGUAAUUAGAUGUUUUCAUGAAUUAGGUCCUGCGGUAUUAAUGUCAGAUUUCCACGCUGUGCUCCUCCCCCGACUCCACUGCCCUGGCCCCUGCCAGCCAGCAGACCAAGUGACCUCUGGGCUCUUCUGAACCCUGGGCUGGCUUCGGUCAGAGGCUCUGCCACGUCCCAGAUGGCCGUCACCGAUGCCUGUGUCUCCUGUCUCCCCGGGGACAGACACGGCUUCCCACAGGCUUACUCGAAGCGGACGGCACGAGUUCAUUCCAUCGUCUUUGCUGAGCACCUUCUAGGCGCAUGAGCGGUGGAAGUGAUGGCAGUGAAUGUAUUAGAUAAACAAACAGAUACCCCAAACCCUGUCUGGCUGGAGCGGAUAGUUGAACAGCAACCGCAGAACUGAUAAUGUGUCUGGGGUGCCUGGUAUGUUGGAGCCACAGUGAAACUGGAGAGGAAGAUGAACGCGAGCUUCAGACGUGAUACCCAGAGGCAGGCUCUCUGAUGCCUGACCUGCAGCCUCUGCGUGUGGGCAUCUUGCAGGAGCAUCACUCACCUGGGAUGUCAGGGCACACAGGCCUGAAGCUGUCUCCUGGGAACUGGCUUCCCUUCACCUCCGAGGCACUCCCCCGAGUCCCCAUCGCCCCGCCAGGCAGGGAAAGGGCGCCUCAGUCUCCCCCACCACCUCCACAGCUGUGCCCAUUCUCCACGGCACACUCUUCCACAUCCCCGAGAGAUGGAGCGUCUCUGGCAGCCCCGCCAGGCUACCGUCCCCUCACUCCAGGCCCAGAACUGGCCUGGCUUCCUGGACGGCAGCUGGCAGGGGCUCAGGGGCAGGGGGAUGAAAGAGACCCGAGUGAGUCCUCGGAGACCCCAGCCUGCCUCCCCAGGCCCUGAGGCAGCUGUGCUCAAACCUGGCACAGCUGGGGUCUAUGGGGCUGCUGUCUGAUACACCCUCCUGCCCCGGGAAACACCCGUCUUCUCCCACCGGACCCUUCAUGGUCUGACUGGUCCCUGUCACUGGACUGCAUGGGAAAGCAGCCUGGAAUCCCUAAAACAGAGGUUUCCGGGGUGCAGACAGCAGAACCACAGGGAGGCACCUGAUGCAGGGCCGUCUUUGGGCACAUC
ensembl:lncRNA